AGCAACAGUAAUGGUGUAACUUUUUAUAGGGUUUGAACAGCAUUAAUGGUUCUGUUUCCUCCUGUGUUCCUCCUCUUGUUUCUGUUAUUUAAUGUCCAUUAAAAUACAUAUAAAUGGUUUGCACACCUUCGCUUAAGUUUUGAUCUUGCUGAGCGGAUUUCUCUGAAAUGUGUAACACGUUCUGAAACAGACAAAAGAGAUGUUCUUGAAGCCGGCCCUACCCUCCAUGAGUGGAAUCAGGAUGUUGGACAGAGGGGCAGGGCGCCGGCCUGUUAAAUAUUGACUGCAGGUGUAAUCAUUAACCUUCCACCAACCCCUGCUCUCUUAAACUGGCGGCUCUGCCUUGGUGCCAUUGCCUUGCUGUCACCGCUGACGUUUGCGUCGAAAAAUGCUCCCUUUUUCCCGCUCGCCGUCUCCUCUCGCCUUCGCCUCUUCUGGUCUGCUUUUCGUGGGCUGAUCCUCGUCUCAACCUGCGUGACCUUCACGCGUCUCAGCACGCCACCGCUCUCCAAAACCUUUGGCCUCGUGUGUGAACUCCAGUGAUCCAUGCAAAGGCCUUGGCCCUUUGGCCGCGCUGGAUGAGGAGCAAUGAUGCCGUUUAUGCUUCAAGCUGUAAAAACUGGGAGGAGGAAAUUGCUCGGGGCAAAGUCGAUGGCUGAGAGGAGUCUCCUUCAGAGUUAACUUCUGCCGUCUUUGCUCUCCCUUCGUUAAACACCACAAGACAAGCCUUCUGGUGCUUGCUGGAUGUAACAGCAACUCCAUGUGGAAGCUGUACGUGUUCCAGUGGAGGUGCUGUUACCUGCAGAGAACGCCAAACCCCGCCGGGAAACGUGGAGAUGUCACGGAAGAGCGUCCGGGCACAAGGUGAUGACCUAUGAAUUGACAGCCAGUUACUUCUAACAUCUGCCUGUCAGUUCUGUAGGCCACUGCUGCGUUUGUCCCACUGAGCGCGCUCAGGUGCGCACAAGAGAAUGCUAACGUCACAGAGUUCCCACACGAAUGCAAUAAAAAUGUUGGAUUUUCCUAUAAAUAAAGACUGAAAAUGUUG